GCUGGCGGCAGGCCUAACACAUGCAAGUCGAACGGCAGCACAGAGGAGCUUGCUCCUUGGGUGGCGAGUGGCGGACGGGUGAGGAAUACGUCGGAAUCUGCCUAUUUGUGGGGGAUAACGUAGGGAAACUUACGCUAAUACCGCAUACGACCUACGGGUGAAAGUGGGGGACCGCAAGGCCUCACGCAGAUAGAUGAGCCGACGUCGGAUUAGCUAGUUGGCGGGGUAAAGGCCCACCAAGGCGACGAUCCGUAGCUGGUCUGAGAGGAUGAUCAGCCACACUGGAACUGAGACACGGUCCAGACUCCUACGGGAGGCAGCAGUGGGGAAUAUUGGACAAUGGGCGCAAGCCUGAUCCAGCCAUGCCGCGUGUGUGAAGAAGGCCUUCGGGUUGUAAAGCACUUUUGUCCGGAAAGAAAAGCUUAGGGUUAAUAACCCUGAGUCAUGACGGUACCGGAAGAAUAAGCACCGGCUAACUUCGUGCCAGCAGCCGCGGUAAUACGAAGGGUGCAAGCGUUACUCGGAAUUACUGGGCGUAAAGCGUGCGUAGGUGGUUUGUUAAGUCUGAUGUGAAAGCCCUGGGCUCAACCUGGGAAUGGCAUUGGAAACUGGCUUACUAGAGUGCGGUAGAGGGUAGCGG
rnacentral:rRNA from 1 species